ensembl:lncRNA
AUCUCUCAGGAGGCAGGUGCUUCUUCAGUUUCCAACGCAUGUAAAGAUGGGAGAUGCUGAGGAUGACAUUGCUGUCAUCGGUAUUGGAUGCAAUUUUCCAGGAGUCUCCUCCCAUUUUGAACUUAGGAGGACAGGAGGUCCUGGCUCACACCUGCGGAGUACCAGGCUUGAAAGACCCGUUCCUGUCCCUGUCCAAAGUCAUCCUGGUUGUGUUGCAGAUCAAGACGAUACCUGACGAUUUCAGCUGCCACUGUGCUGACACCUCCCCCUUCCCUGUGUUGUCCCUUUCUUUGUCCAUCUGGUCAUGCUUCUGACCUGGUCUAAGUUUAAAUAGACUCUGGACUCAGCCCACAUGCAUUAAUUAAUUAUUACAAUUGGACUCUUAAUAUCUCACCUGGCACACCCCUCUGAGCCUGGGUCCUCUCUAGGUUUCUUCCUAAAUUUUGGCCUUCUUAGGGAGUUUUUCGUAGUCACUGAAAUUCAACACUACUGUUGUUUAAUUUAAGGCCGG